GAUGAACGCUUGCGGCGUGCCUAAUACAUGCAAGUCGAGCGAACAGACGAGGAGCUUGCUCCUCUGACGUUAGCGGCGGACGGGUGAGUAACACGUAGAUAACCUACCUAUAAGACUGGGAUAACUUCGGGAAACCGGAGCUAAUACCGGAUAAUAUAUUGAACCGCAUGGUUCAAUAGUGAAAGACGGUUUUGCUGUCACUUAUAGAUGGAUCCGCGCCGCAUUAGCUAGUUGGUAAGGUAACGGCUUACCAAGGCGACGAUGCGUAGCCGACCUGAGAGGGUGAUCGGCCACACUGGAACUGAGACACGGUCCAGACUCCUACGGGAGGCAGCAGUAGGGAAUCUUCCGCAAUGGGCGAAAGCCUGACGGAGCAACGCCGCGUGAGUGAUGAAGGUCUUCGGAUCGUAAAACUCUGUUAUUAGGGAAGAACAAAUGUGUAAGUAACUAUGCACGUCUUGACGGUACCUAAUCAGAAAGCCACGGCUAACUACGUG
rnacentral:rRNA from 1 species